rnacentral:lncRNA from 1 species
CUCUAUUGCAGGCCCCAGCCCACGACUUCUUUCGGCGCCAGAGAAUUACUGGGCGCUUGCUAGAAAUGACCCCCAGAGGCCACCGUAGCCCCCUCGUGCCUCGCUUAAUUUGGAUGCCUGGGUAGAUAACUCAAACUCGGAAGGCAUCUGAGGGUAUUUCAGGGUUGAUAGGGAUCUCAAAUGUCACCAGGGCUUUGACUGCCGGAUAAUUAGGCCCCAAGCGACGGCUGGCUACAUCUCCAGCCCCUUAGUCCCGUGGCAGCCCCGUCAUUUUCUCUCCUUGGUUGGAGAGACGGCUGCUGGCUGUGAUCUUCCCGCCAGAUCAGCGCCUUAUCAGAGCUGGACACGACUCCCUUCUGAAGGAACCCUGCGCAGACAGUGAUUAACCAAAGAGCAAGGAAAGGCAGUUCCAUGAAAGAAAAGUGGUAGCAGGUGAGAUCCUGGAUGAAGUCUUAAUGUGCAUAGAUGUCAUCACCCAGAUUUUACCUCUGAUCGCUGAGGAUUCAGUGUGAACCAUCACAGCACAGGCAGGCUGCCCAUCUCAGGCAGCUUAACAAGAACACUGGGUUCCUGCUUCGACAAGGGACUUGGAAGGUUUCACUUUCCCUCUCUGGUAUUGGUUUCCCUUCUGGAUCCCCAAACUCAGCAAAAUUCAGAAACCAUGACCUCCAAGUCUCAGCUGCCUUGUAUCACAAAUAUCACUUACUCCAUGAAGCCUUCUUGGAUUCUUCACCACCCCCCAAGCUGUAAGUGACUCCACCUCUCUGCUAUUUCCUUUUUUCCACCUGAAAUUCUGAUUAUUUGUGAAAUGACUUUAUGUGCCUACCAGCCUGAAAUGACCUUGAGAUCAUAGCAGGUACCAAUACUUUAUAUUUGAAUAAUACUUAAUAUUUUGCACGAAUCAACUACCCAUCAGGAAAGGAAGGCUUUAUCAUCCCCACUUCCAUUCUUCAGAUUACAAAACAAGUACUUGAAUGGUAUACCUAAGAUUGUGUAAAAUGGCAGAGCAAA